GAUCAUGUUGGUGUUCACUUGAUGAGUUUACAUGACAGGAAUCCAUGUAUUCACACAUCUCUAAACCCAUCAGCACCAGAGUUCCUAGCAAACAGCAAGUAUUCAAAAUCUAUUGUGAGACUUAAGCUUGGAUGGCCAAGGCACCCUUUACAAAGAGACAACCACUUCAAAGAGGGCUCUCUGAAAUGUACACAUCGCCAGCCACAGACUCUAGAUAGAGAAUCAGGCUUCCUGCUUCCCCCAGGCACUUUUGUUGGAAGAGAUCUUGGCUGAUUUCAAUAACUGAUCAGGUACCCCUAGGCACUAUUCAGUGACAAGAAAGUACUUCUUAGCCAUGAUGUACCCACAAGGAGAAGUGAGAACAUGUGUGGACACCCCCCUUUCCAGCUGCCAAAAAGGUCAACUGCUUUGCUACCUUAACCAAUGUACUGAGGUAUGCUGCAUGCCUGGGGUUCAGGAGAGACUGAAAGAAGAGUGCCCAGGACCCCCCCAGGGAGCAUCAAAGAGACCCAAUUCCUACUAACCACUUUGUAGAAACCACCAAUGGGGUGCUGGAGACCCCUCACCUAGGAUUCCCCAUGGAAUACUUAAAAGUAUUUGCUCUGACCCAUGGAUUAUG